rnacentral:lncRNA from 1 species
AAACCUGAUACAUCAAGCUUGAGAGAGUAUGUCAAAGCACCUGACAGGGUGUUCCCAUGUUCAUUUCUACCCUUCCUUCCUGGUAAAAGGAACAGCACAAGUACAGGUGUAAGAUGGAAGAGGCAGUAGUGUGCUAAAAGCAGCUGGUGAAACAGCAAUAGGGGUAAAGCAGGAAGGCUCUUAGGAUGCUGCUGCCCACCAUAGAGGCCAGUGGCCGCCAGGGAAGCUGGACCUAGACUCCAACCCAGAACCACAGGCAAAGUUGCUGAGACUGAGGUCAAGGUAGAAUCAGCCUUAACAGCUGGCUGCUUAUCAGAUAUGCUCAUUGCAGACAGCAAGCUCAGGCCCAGGAUAAGGAAAGGUUUCCAAAGGGACCCCCGGGCAGGGUGAAAGAGGUCACCAAAAGUCACGCAGAGCUGUGCCGGGAGACCUGGUUAGACAUCUUUGGGUGCCAGAUAGAGAAGAGCUUGUCUCCCAUGUGAGGCCCAGGUUCCAGUCUUGAAAACCAGACACAGAAAAAAAUUCUCUAAGGACCCUACAUGGCUGCAGGAUCAGCCUGAAUAUCCAGUCUUUCAGGAACAAAAUAGAAGAGAACAGAGUUGUGGCUGGUCUAGUCUAACUAACACUUUGAUAUAAACCUGGACUUCUUUUCUUGAUCCCAAAUAUUUGUCAGUUUUAUUAACUCUUGUUCACCCUUGUCUUCUUCCAUGUAGUUGGUCAGAGUAAAUCUCAUGAAUGAAAAAGAGCCUAUGUAUAGCUGCUUUGAAGACAAGAGUACUCGGAGUUCCCAGGGCUUCAGUUUUCCCAUUUGUACAGUAGAGUAGUUGGACUACAUUAUGGUCUUCAGGGGGAGCGGGAGUCUCUUCCACUACUUCUCCCUUCCCCUAUUGCCUUGUCCAGGAUGAGGAGUGUGGUUUUGGGAGCCGUCCAGCUGGGAUGUGCUAGAGUCUAUUGAAUUCAGAGGGUUCCCCUUUCCAUUCAUAGUCUGAAUAGCGGCAGCAGACCUGAAGAGGAAUGCAAGCUGGACCUCUGAAUCCUAUGUGAACUUUAAAAAAGGACAACUGGCCUGGGGUGUAGAAAUGCAUAUACCCAUCUGGACUGAGUCCCCAUGUGGGGACUCCAGUAAGUAAUUUCUCAGGUCAUGAUUACAUGAUGGUGGGAGCUGAGCUGAGGAGUAUAAUGAACAAACAAGCCUGCGGUUUUCUAUAGGAGGAAAGGAAACACCUUAACACGUAUGCAAAUCCAACCUUUUUUCGUUGUAGUUUUUGCUUUUCCCUGAAUUCUUCCAUCUUCCUGGCCUCUUCUCUUAAACUCUGUGCAAGCUGAAUGUGACAUUGUGCCACAUUGUCUACUUCUGCAAAAAA